CAAAUUUAAAAUCUACCUGGUUUYCAGGUCGAGUUGUAAUUUGAAGAUACGUUUUUGACGUUCCGGGUUGAACUAAAUCCUUUGGGAUAAGGUAUCAUGGAGGGUGAGAAUCCCGUAUAUACCAACCRUAGGGAUGUUAUUUAAUACGUUUCUAAGAGUCGAGUUGUUUGGGAAUGCAGCUCUAAAUGGGUGGUAAAUUUCACCUAAUGCUAAAUAUAAGCGAGAGACCGAUAGYGAACAAGUACAGUGAUGGAAAGAUGAAAAGAACUUUGAAAAGAGAGUUAAAUAGUAYGUGAAAUUGUUGAAAGGGAAACGAUUGAAGUCAGUCAUGCCRGUGGGAAUCAACUUWGAGGAAACUCUGAGUGCACUUCUUCGCUUGGCAGGUCAACGUCGAUUUUGGAUGUCAUAAAAUGAUUGGGGGAAGGUAGCUCCUUCGGGAGUGUUAUAGCCCUUGGUAGAUGUGAUGUCUGGGAUCGAGGAUUGCAAUGGAUACCCUUUGGGGCUAGCCGCCUGAUCUCUAAUYGGUAUUGGGUUACGGAUAGCAUGCUGACCGUGAUCUAAUUAUUGGUUAAAAGGU
rnacentral:rRNA from 1 species